rnacentral:rRNA from 1 species
AUGCUUGGUACUGAUCUGUGCCCUAACAAUUUAUGUCAAUUUUACUCUUGGUGCUAUGCUUUUCUUCCUCAUGGUGAGAGACACUUCACUAUGGGGCUGGCGGCUGCUUGCUGGGCCAUUUGGAACCGCAGAAAUCAGGCUACUUUCGAGUUUAAGAAGUUGUCAUCUCCUUUUGAGAUUGUCUUCACAACCUGCACACAUCUAUCUUACUGGGCAGGGCUGUUGAAGGACGAGGGACGAGCGGAGCUGGAGCAUGGCGCGGCGCUUCUGAAGAAGAAUGCUAAGGAGCUGAUGAGCCUUUGCACAACUGCAUACAUGAGGUCCACCCUGGGGUGA